UCUAAAAACAGAUUUUACAGAAAAAAACAAUUUUCAUAUUAUAAAUAACCUACUAGGUAUUAUAAUACUAACAAAUUUACCCCCGGAUUAAAGCAAACGUUUGGCUGGUAUUUGAACAAAAUCGUGAACGAGACAAUUACAAAAUUUAAACCUUCCUCAAAAUUUUUUUAUAAGACUUGAUAAUUAUAUAAUUUUCUUAUUGACUUCGCUGAUGAAUUAGUACAAUUAUAUUUAAUAGUUUCUUGGUUGAUUUCAUAAACCCUACGUUCUUCUCCUUCGCCUUCAACCCAACUAUUGGGAUUGCACGCUAAACUUGCACUGAGCCCGAUUUCAUAUUCUCAAUUGCUUCCAGCCACUUUAGAUCGUCUUCCCCUCAUUCCUCCUACAUCUAUUUUCAUUAAACAUUAAUUAACUACAUUCAUUCUGAACCAUCUACGUAUGUUUUUUCUUAUUUUGUCCAUUAUUGAAGGUUAGUGUAUCGAAAUUGGAGUCUGUGGAACUUGCUCCGAUUUUUACGUGUAGCAAAGCAAAUUGGUGUGGAGAGGUAGACUUUUCUCAAUAGUUUUCUCAUCAAAUGCGAAAAACUAAAAAAAAAAAGAAACGGGAAAAUGUACGAAACAUUUAAAUCAUGUACGAAAAUGUAUGAAAUAUAUUUGUAUAAUAUUACAAUUUCUAUUUUCUAUUGAUAACUUUAAAAAUAGGUUCAUCGCUGACUUUUUCAAAAAUAUAGAUGUCAUAUUAUGGUAAAAUGAUUACAAUAAUAUGCGUUUCCAGAGGUGAGAGACGAUCAUUUCUAACCCAUAGUAUUAUGUUUAUGCUUAGCACGGUGACACGCUUCGGUACGUAACCCCUUAUCCCAAAUCCGUGUUGAUAUUGCAAUGAUAUUAUAUUAUUGCGUGUUGUUCCGGCUUCUAAAAUUCCGAUAUCGUCAUUUUUAAUUUAAUCAAGUGUUUAUUUUAUCAUUCCUACUACCUAUUUUCAUCAACAUAAUAAAUAAAUAUAAUUAUACCUGUAUUCAAACUCAACACUGUUGCUGAGGAUACUCCGUUCAGGAUAGGUAAGCAUAUUAUUGUUACCCUUCAUAGUGUAUAUCUUAUGUUAAUAGUUUCUUACCGUCGUAGGCUGUAAUAAGUAAUCUGAGUGAUUGGCGGGUGUACAUUCAUUUAUUUUGUACCCCUAUAUUCACUGUAUUACAAUAUUAUUUGGGUAUUUCUAAUAAUACAUUUUCUAACGUACCAUGAGACACGACGUAAAUUAUCAUGUUGUUUUUCCAUUUUAUUUCGCUGCGAACGUCCGAGUACGUCGUGCGUCGUUCAUUUUUUCGUAAAUCGCAUUUGUUAAAAGACACCUAUCGCGAAAACACCAAUUGGUGAGUGUUAUUGUAAUUAAUUGGAUUAUUUAUUAUUAUCGUGUGUAGAGAAUAAAACGCGUUAAAAAUGACCAAUGGCGGCUAUUAUGGCGUUUAACAUGGUUAAAAUAGGAAAAUACACUACUGGUCAAUUUUUAAUAGUUUAUUGGCGAAGUUGGCCGUCAACUGUUUUUUCGACUUUGAAUCAUUUUAUCGUGUAUGGCCUCGGGUCAUACACAACGGAUGCAGUACACCCCAUUUAAAUUCGCGGCGGAAAACGGUGGUCUUGCGUUUUGGCGGACGAACGCCUAAUUUCUCAUUGUUUUAAAUUAGGUUUGGCUAAAUUGGUGACGGGAAACGCCGCGUUUAUACCAUAUACCAAUAAUUAUGACAAUCGUGUAUGUUGUAAUAAAAGUAUAUUUUUCACUAUAAUAUUAAUGUAAAUCUAAAAAAAAAAAAAAAAAAAAAAAAAAAAAAAAAAACAGCCGUGC
rnacentral:lncRNA from 1 species